GCCUCCAUGGUGUAAUGGUCAGCACACUCGGCGCGAAUUCAGAGGGCUCGGGGUUCGAGUCCCGGUGAGGGCA
rnacentral:tRNA from 1 species